AUUGUAAAUAUAGGAAAUGUGAUGGACCAACCACUAGGUGGUAUAGAAAUGUGAUGGACCAACCACUAGGUGAUAUAGAAAUGUGAUGGACCAACCACUAGGUGAUAAAGAAAUGUGAUGGACCAACCACUAGGUGAUAAAGAAAUGUGAUGGACCAACCACUAGGUGAUAUAGAAAUGUGAUGGACCAACCACUAGGUGAUAAAGAAAUGUGAUGGACCAACCACUAGGUGAUAAAGAAAUGUGAUGGACCAACCACUAGGUGAUAGAGAAA